rnacentral:rRNA from 1 species
CAGCAGCCGCGGUAAAACGUAGGGUGCAAGCGUUAAUCGGAAUUACUGGGCGUAAAGCGUGCGCAGGCGGUUAUAUAAGUCAGAUGUGAAAUCCCCGGGCUCAACCUGGGAACUGCAUUUGAGACUGUAUGGCUAGAGUGCGUCAGAGGGGGGUAGAAUUCCACGUGUAGCAGUGAAAUGCGUAGAUAUGUGGAGGAAUACCGAUGGCGAAGGCAGCCCCCUGGGAUGACACUGACGCUCAUGCACGAAAGCGUGGGGAGCAAACAGGAUUAGAUACCCCGGUAGUCCCUGUCUCUUAUAC